rnacentral:rRNA from 1 species
GAUGAACGCUGGCGGCGUGCUUAACACAUGCAAGUCGAACGAAGCGACUAUGAUUGAGAUUUCGGUUGAUUGAAUAGUUGACUUAGUGGCGGACGGGUGAGUAACGCGUGGGUAACCUGCCUCGUACAGGGGGAUAACAGUUAGAAAUAGGUGCUAAUACCGCAUAAGCGCACGGUUUCGCAUGAAACAGUGUAGAAAAACUCCGGUGGUAUAUGAUGGACCCGCGUCUGAUUAGCUGGUUGGUAAGGUAACGGCUUACCAAGGCGACGAUCAGUAGCCGGCCUGAGAGGGUGACCGGCCACAUUGGGACUGAGACACGGCCCAGACUCCUACGGGAGGCAGCAGUGGGGGAUAUUGCACAAUGGAGGAAACUCUGAUGCAGCAACGCCGCGUGAGGGAAGACGGUCUUCGGAUUGUAAACCUAAGUUAUCAGGGACGAUUAUGACGGUACCUGAAGAGAAAGCUCCGGCUAACUACGUG